AAUCCAUAGGUUAAUGAGGCGAACCGGGGGAACUGAAACAUCUAAGUACCCCGAGGAAAAGAAAUCAACCGAGAUUCCCCCAGUAGCGGCGAGCGAACGGGGAGGAGCCCAGAGCCUGAAUCAGCAUGUGUGUUAGUGGAAGCGUCUGGAAAGGCGCGCGAUACAGGGUGACAGCCCCGUACACAAAAGCGCAUGUGCUGUGAGCUCGAUGAGUAGGGCGGGACACGUGGUAUCCUGUCUGAAUAUGGGGGGACCAUCCUCCAAGGCUAAAUACUCCUGACUGACCGAUAGUGAACCAGUACCGUGAGGGAAAGGCGAAAAGAACCCCGGCGAGGGGAGUGAAAAAGAACCUGAAACCGUGUACGUACAAGCAGUGGGAGCACAGGUUUACCUGUGUGACUGCGUACCUUUUGUAUAAUGGGUCAGCGACUUAUAUUCUGUAGCAAGGUUAACCGAAUAGGGGAGCCGGAGGGAAACCGAGUCUUAAUUGGGCGUUAAGUUGCAGGGUAUAGACCCGAAACCCGGUGAUCUAGCCAUGGGCAGGUUGAAGGUUGGGUAACACUAACUGGAGGACCGAACCGACUAAUGUUGAAAAAUUAGCGGAUGACCUGUGGCUGGGGGUGAAAGGCCAAUCAAACCGGGAGAUAGCUGGUUCUCCCCGAAAGCUAUUUAGGUAGCGCCUCGUGAAUUCAUCUCCGGGGGUAGAGCACUGUUUCGGCUAGGGGGCCAUCCCGGCUUACCAACCCGAUGCAAACUGCGAAUACCGGAGAAUGUUAUCACGGGAGACACACGGCGGGUGCUAACGUCCGUCGUGAAGAGGGAAACAACCCAGACCGCCAGCUAAGGUCCCAAAGUCAUGGUUAAGUGGGAAACGAUGUGGGAAGGCCCAGACAGCCAGGAUGUUGGCUUAGAAGCAGCCAUCAUUUAAAGAAAGCGUAAUAGCUCACUGGUCGAGUCGGCCUGCGCGGAAGAUGUAACGGGGCUAAACCAUGCACCGAAGCUGCGGCAGCGACACUGUGUGUUGUUGGGUAGGGGAGCGUUCUGUAAGCCUGUGAAGGUGUGUCGUGAGGCAUGCUGGAGGUAUCAGAAGUGCGAAUGCUGACAUAAGUAACGAUAAAGCGGGUGAAAAGCCCGCUCGCCGGAAGACCAAGGGUUCCUGUCCAACGUUAAUCGGGGCAGGGUGAGUCGACCCCUAAGGCGAGGCCGAAAGGCGUAGUCGAUGGGAAACGGGUUAAUAUUCCCGUACUUGGUGUUACUGCGAAGGGGGGACGGAGAAG
rnacentral:rRNA from 1 species